rnacentral:piRNA from 1 species
UUUGUCUUGUAGUGCAAAGAAAGGAG